GUAACAAGGUCUCCGUUGGUGAACCAGCGGAGGGAUCAUUACCGAGUUUACAACUCCCAAACCCAAUGUGAACGUUACCAAACUGUUGCCUCGGCGGGAUCUCUGCCCCGGGUGCGUCGCAGCCCCGGACCAAGGCGCCCGCCGGAGGACCAACCAAAACUCUUUUUGUAUACCCCCUCGCGGGUUUUUUAUAAUCUGAGCCUUCUCGGCGCCUCUCGUAGGCGUUUCGAAAAUGAAUCAAAACUUUCAACAACGGAUCUCUUGGUUCUGGCAUCGAUGAAGAACGCAGCGAAAUGCGAUAAGUAAUGUGAAUUGCAGAAUUCAGUGAAUCAUCGAAUCUUUGAACGCACAUUGCGCCCGCCAGUAUUCUGGCGGGCAUGCCUGUCCGAGCGUCAUUUCAACCCUCGAACCCCUCCGGGGGGUCGGCGUUGGGGAUCGGCCCUCCCUUAGCGGGUGGCCGUCUCCGAAAUACAGUGGCGGUCUCGCCGCAGCCUCUCCUGCGCAGUAGUUUGCACACUCGCAUCGGGAGCGCGGCGCGUCCACAGCCGUUAAACACCCAACUUCUGAAAUGUUGACCUCGGAUCAGGUAGGAAUACCCGCUGAACUU
rnacentral:rRNA from 1 species